GACGAACGCUGGCGGCGUGCCUAAUACAUGCAAGUCGAACGGAAAGGCCCCUUUUUGGGUACUCGAGUGGCGAACGGGUGAGUAACACGCGAGUAACCAGCCCUUCACUUCGGGAUAACUACCGGUUAGUGGGGCUAAUACCGGACACGAAUCCUUGCUUCAUGCAGGGGGUUGGCAAGAUUCGGCGGUUUUGGUUGGUAUCGCGGCUUAUUACCUUGUUGGGGGGGUAGUGGCUUACCACGGCUUUGACGGGUAGCCGGCCUGAGAGGGCGACCGGCGACAUUGGGACUGAGGGACGGCGCAGACUGCUACGGGAGGCAACAGUGGGGAAUAUUGCACAAUGAGCGGAAGCCAGAUGCAGAAGCGCCGCGUGCGGAAUGACGGGCUUCGGGUUGUGAACCGCUUUCAGCAGGGACGAUGCUUGUGGUGACGGUACCUGCAGAGAAAGCACCGGCUAACUACGUG
rnacentral:rRNA from 1 species